GCUGGGUGCGAUGGUGCAUGCCUGUAAUCCCAGCGACUUGGGAGGCUGAGGCAGGAGGAUCACAAGUUCAAAGCCAGCCUCAGCAGAAGCAAUGCUCUAAGCAACUCAGUGAGACCCUGUCUCUA
rnacentral:sRNA from 1 species